CAAGUAGGCGGUCGGGUAAGUCGAGUGUGAAAUUCCGGGGCUCAACCCCGCGAACUGCAUUCGAUACUGCUCGACUAGAGAAAGGUAGGGGCGAGUGGAAUUCCCGGUGUAGCGGUGGAAUGCGUAGAUAUCGGGAAGAACACCGGUGGCGAAGGCGGCUCGCUGGGCCUUUUCUGACGCUGAAGCGCGAAAGCGUGGGGAGCAAACAGGAUUAGAUACCCUGGUAGUCC
rnacentral:rRNA from 1 species